CAAGGGGAAACAAAAGCGUCUGCUGGUACCCACCAGAGCUCCGGUCCGGUUCUCCUGCCAUUUAAAAUUAAAAAGGCGCUCCUGGGACCAAGGACCGGGAAGGGAGCAAUGGGAGACUCACUAGCCAUCGUAUGGACAUUUCUUCAAGCAGCUGAUCAGCACUAUUAGUUUUUUUUCCCAUGGUGGAGAGGUUCUUCUUCACGAGGCAAAUAGGCGGUCUGGGUUCCAUCCAACCCACGACCCUCCUCUCUGGGCCUCCUUGCUGCGGGAAGACUUCUCUUUUGUUCCAAUUUGCGAUCAAUUGCACAUCGGAGAGUGUCGGCAAUGUGGUCUUCAUCUGUAACAAGAGGAGACUAGAGAAUAAGCCUCCCUUUUUAUCUCAUGGUGUCGAUCCGUCUUCAGAUGCGCUUCAACACAUACAAAUCAAGUAUGUUGACGAUGAUGAAGGAAUCAAAAAAUUCUUUGCAGCAUUUCACCUGCAUGAUAACUUUCCAGUAGCAGUUAUCAUUGAUGAUUUUGGAGAUUUCUUCAGUGACAGGAAUUGUCAACAGAGAUAUAGCAAUGCAAGGGGUAGGGAUCUAGCCAUGGUUCGCACUCUGGCUCUAUGCUGGGAUGCUAUAGCACACGCAAACAAAAAAUUGCAACCCAAGGCAUCUUGCAAUCUUCUGGUCGCUGAUACACACCAAGGAGACAGUCCAAGAUUGUUAUUCAUUUACAAGAGAUGGAUUCAAUGCAUCUUUACAAUUCAAGGUGAUGGCUCGGGUUCAUAUAUUUUGAAGAAUAGUUGUAUUUCAGGCAACAGGCAAGAGAAUAUGACAAUUGCCAAAUAUUCCAUAGCGCUUCAGCAUCUGGCAUUGGAAGAGAUUGUUGAACAACAGAAAAAUCAAGAAGUUACAUAAGAUAAAAGCUUACAUUUUAUGAUUAUAGCUGUUAAGAAAGCUCACAGGUUUUCUUCUUUGUGGAAAAUGGAGGCUGAUAAAUUGAUAUUGGAAGAUAUUGGUCUAUACCAGCUGAAUGUAAGAACAUGGAUACAAACCGGGAUCUUGGAUCUCUGCCAAGAUCUGAAUAAUCGAAUACAAGAAUUGCUUAAUUUGCAUCUCUUAACAAAAUGAUAGAAGAAAAUGCUCUUGAAA